UGUUUCAAUUCAGUGGAGAUUUUGCACAGUAUUUUCAAGUACUUCUUUUGUUCUUUUCAAGUUUCUAGUCUAGAUUUCGUCGACAACGUCGGAGGUGUAUGUUGGAGCCUCUUGUGAAUGCCAUCGAUGAUACAUCAACUGUUUGUGAUCUUGUGGUCAUGUCGUCUGCAUUGGAGGAGUAAUGGAGUCUUUUCCUGUGAUUGCCGUCUUAACAACAGGAGAUUUCUCCAAGCAAAAACAGGAUCCUGAAUAUGAGGGCAGAAUCAUCAUACAGCCAGCUGUCCGUUUUACAGAAAUGCAGAAUUAGGUUCAUUCAGAUCUUUGUGGCACCAAAUGCAUUGAAAGUCACAGGUCAGCUGGAAUUCUGGAAAGAGGGUGCAAAGAAAAAGGAUCUGCCUGAAUCCCAUCCUGCUGUUUCUCAUCGGAGAGCUUAUCAACUUUGACUGUCAAAAUUACUGAAAUUUAACACAACACAAACUCAUUUUUACUGUUAAUAUUAUUUGAUUUUUAUUAACACUACCAGUCAAAAGUUUUUGAACAGUAAGAUUUUUAAUGUUUUUAAAGAAGCCUCUUCUGCUCACCAAGCCUGCAUUUAUUUGAUCCAAAGUACAGCAAAAACAGUACAAUUUUGAAAUAUUUUUACUAUUUAAAAUAAAUGUUUUCUAUUUGAAUAUAUUUUAAAAUGUAAUUUAUUCCUGUCAUCAAAGCUGAAUUUUUAACAUCAUUACUCCAGUCUUCAGUGUCACAUGAUCCUUCAGAAAUCAUUCGGUAACACUUUACAAUAAGGUUCAUUAGUUAACUACAUUAGUUAACAUGAACUAAUAAUGAACUGCACUUAUACAGCGUUUAUUAAUCUUUGUUAAUGUUAAUUUCAACAUUUAAUAAUACAUUAUUAAAAUCUUGUUAACAUUAGGUAAUGCACUGUGAACUAACAUGAACUAACAAUGAACAUCUGUAUUUUUAUUAACUAACGUUAGCGAAGAUUAGUAAAUACAGUAACAAAUGUAUUGCUCAUGGUUAGUUCAUGUUAGUUAAUACAUUAACUAAUGUUUAACUAAUGAACCUUAUUGUAAAGUGUUACCAAUCAUUCUAAUAUUCUGAUUUGCUGCUCAAAAAAACUAUUAUUAUUAUUAUGUUGAAAACAGCUGAGUCUACUUUUUUCAGGUUUCCUUGAUGAAUAGAAAGUUCAGAACAGCAUUUAUCUGAAAUAGAAAUAUUUUGUAACAUUAUGAAUGUCUUUAUCUUCACUUUUGAUCAAUUUAAACCAUCCUUGUUAAAUAAAAGUAGUAAUUCGUAUAACCUUCGUAUUUUACUUUUUAAAAGAAAAUGUUCAACAAUUAAAAAGAAUAUUA